GCUCUGAGCUCCGGGGUGUUGGUAACAGCAGGGCCACCACCAUCACCAGUAAGAGCUGUGGUGCAGGGAAGACAGGGAAGGCGAGGGGUGACCUGGUCACCUCACAAUGGGGGCAGACUCCUGCGUGCUGAGCGGGCGGGUGCCGCUGCGUGGCUGAGAACACAGAGUGCAUCUCACAGGGUCACAGAACGCGGAGACGGCUUAGGGUCCAAGGACGAGGACUGUGAAGACUGCGCUUAUUCAUACCCUCAACUACCACAGAACACAGAAGGUUUUCAGAAAUACAAGGUUGAAAACAGAACCUCAUGCAUGCCAGGCAAGAGCUCCACCACCGAGCAACAUCUCCAGCCCUUUUUAUUUUCAGACAAGAUCUUGCUAAGUUGCCUGUAAACCUGUGAUCCUCCUGUCUCAGCCUCCCAGGAGCUGGAGCGCAAACAGAAUGGGCAUGAGAAGCGCCGGGAAGACCACUCUGCUGUCUGGAGCAGUCUGCCUGCAACCUUCGGAGCUGGCGGCGCGCACUUCCUUCGCUGGGCUGUGAACCCGUUCCCCCUGCGCUGAAAGGGUUUCCACGCUGUUUAGAUUCUGCGCCUCGCCUCUCUCUGCCUGAGCUGCGAUUUCUAAACGACCCUCUGCGCCCACGUCCUGAUUCUGCGUUUUCCAAGCAAGUGACGCAUUUCCCCCUAUUUCCUUAGGAGAGAUCCCUAAGAUUGGAAUGGGGCAUCCCGGAGUGGACCCUCACAGGCUGCCUGCCUCCCUGCGUCCUCCCAAACCUAGCACGGUCAAUCUGGGUCAGUCUGGCAAGAGAAUCUGGAAGGUUCCCAGUUGUAAUCUGUAUUCCUUGGGUUAUUACAAGGCUAAACACGACUGCAGAUGUUCAUUAGCACGGGUGGAAUACCUGUGAAUUGUCCUCCUUGGCUCUGUGACCUCCACUGCAACUGUGGCAUUUGUCUUUUAUCAAAAUACGGAAGAUACACGUCGUUUUUUUUAAAAAAAAAUAUAGACAAAGACUCCAAAACAUCAAAAUUAAAUUAAUUAAAUUAAUUAA